GUUGGAGGAUCAAAGACUAAAGGCGCGCGUCCUGCGGCAACGUCUCUUAGGUCCCAUCCAGGGGA
rnacentral:sRNA from 1 species